UACGGGAGGGGCGAGCGUUCUUCGGAAUGAUUCGGCGUAAAGCGCACGUAGGCUGUUUAGAAAAUCAAAGAGAACAGAACCUCAAAGCUUAACUUUGAAAGUUCUCUAGACUGGAGAAGUCGAGAUUCCUAAACUGGAGUAAGGAAGAGGAGAAUGGAAUUCCUGGCGUAGAGGUAAAAUUUGUUGAUACCAGGAGGAACACCGAAGGCGAAGGCAGUUCUCUGGCCCUUUACUGACGUUGAGGUGCGAAAGCGUGGGGAUCAAAAGGG
rnacentral:rRNA from 1 species